CCUACGGGAGGCAGCAGUGAGGAAUAUUGGUCAAUGGCCGAGAGGCUGAACCAGCCAAGUCGCGUGAGGGAUGACGGCCCUACGGGUUGUAAACCUCUUUUGUCGGGGAGCAAAGAGAGUCACGUGUGGCUCAUUGAGAGUACCCGAAGAAAAAGCAUCGGCUAACUCCGUGCCAGCAGCCGCGGUAAUACGGAGGAUGCGAGCGUUAUCCGGAUUUAUUGGGUGUAAAGGGAGCGUAGGCGGGGAUGCAAGUUGGGUGUCAAAACUAUCGGCUCAACCGAUAGUCGCACUCAAAACUGCAGCUCUUGAGUGAAGUAGAGGCAGGCGGAAUUCCUAGUGUAGCGGUGAAAUGCGUAGAUAUUAGGAGGAACACCAGUGGCGAAGGCGGCCUGCUGGGCUUUUACUGACGCUGAGGCUCGAAAGUGUGGGGAGCAAACAGGAUUAGAUACCCGGGUAGUA
rnacentral:rRNA from 1 species